AGGCAGAGAAAAUCUCUCUCCUGCUGUGCUUUCAUUAAAAUCAAAUUUAAAAUCCCCGAUAGUGAUAAGACAUCCAUUACUAUACUAUUCUAAACUGAGUGUAUAGGGAACGAUUUCGAACACAGCUUCAGAAUGCAUUCUGACGCAUGUCAAACGAAGCCGCAUGCCUAAUCAAAAACAUGCCUAUUGGUGAGUUCACGGAACCUCGGACGCUAGCCUUCCGAGUUGCUUUUGACGCCAUUCCCGGUCUCUGAGCACUUAUAGCGUUCCUGUUCGUCUUUGUGAUUGUGCCAUGAGUCAUGACAUUGGCUAGUCGUUGUUUAUUGUUAGCUACAUAAGCCCCUUUAGCAUACCUGCCCGAAAACAAACAACAAACUUUACAUUGUAUUGCACCAACACCAUUCAACAACUCCCGCUAGUUUUCCGCUAAGUCAUGUGACAUGUCGCAUAGGGGGGUUAUCACCUGCAUUUCUCACGUUUUGAUCCCAGAAUGCAUCCAACGCAACCUGAACGCAACGCAUGCUUGUCCGAUGUUGGAGACUCUGAUACAGAGCAGCGCCAUCUACCGCUUGGGGGUCGUCAAAGGAUGCGAGAAAUGUGCCUUUGUAAAAAUGAAUAUUAGAUGUACAUUGCUUAGUGUUAUUUGAAAAUAAUAGGUCAGAUAUCUCAAUAGGCCUACUUUUGUUUUGUAUUGAAUAGUAUGAUUACUUCGUUUCUAAGAAGUCCUUUGUUUGUGAAGUCCUUAGGGGGCUUUUAUUUUGCCUAUUAAAUUCGCGUAUAUAUAAGGUGAUGCACUUCCCGUCGACCUCUUCUGCUUCUACAACCGCGUGUCAUAAAGCUGUGGAGAUGAGCAGCCAAAGAGUUGGAGACGUUCCGUCUGAAGCUUGUACCGUUGAUCAAGCCCAUCUGCCAAAGAUGCAGACAUUUUGUGUGAAGCUCGUAACGUCGAUCCAGCUGGUCCACAGCCAAAGAUGCAGACAUUUUGUGUGAAGCCCGUAUCGUCGAUCCCGCUGGUCCACAGCCAAAGAUGCAGACAUUUUGUGUGAAGCCCGUAUCGUCGAUCCCGCUGGUCCACAGCCAAAGAUGCAGACAUUUUGUGUGAAGCCCGUAUCGUCGAUCCCGCUGGUCCACAGCCAAAGAUGCAGACAUUUUGUGUGAAGCCCGUAUCGUCGAUCCCGCUGGUCCACAGCCAAAGAUGCUGACAUUUUGUGUGAAGCUUGUAUCGUCGGUCCAGCUGGUCCACAGCCAAAGAUGCAGACAUUUUGUGUGAAGCCCGUAUCGUCGAUCCCGCUGGUCCACAGCCAAAGAUGCAGACAUUUUGUGUGAAGCCCGUAUCGUCGAUCCCGCUGGUCCACAGCCAAAGAUGCAGACAUUUUGUGUGAAGCCCGUAUCGUCGAUCCCGCUGGUCCACAGCCAAAGAUGCUGACAUUUUGUGUGAAGCUUGUAUCGUCGGUCCAGCUGGUCCACAGCCAAAGAUGCAGACAUUUUGUGUGAAGCCCGUAUCGUCGAUCCCGCUGGUCCACAGCCAAAGAUGCAGACAUUUUGUGUGAAGCCCGUAUCGUCGAUCCCGCUGGUCCACAGCCAAAGAUGCUGACAUUUUGUGUGAGGCUCGCAUCGUCGAUCCAGCUGUUCCACAGGUUGUUCGGACCUGGCAAUUGUAGAACAUCAUGCUGGUUCUACAGACACGGAAGGCACAAAGCACUGCAGACGGAAGAACCUACCAGUUCCUGAGGCAAGUUUUAUCCAGCCGGCAGAGGGUUGUCAUGGAGCUGAUUGUCAAAUACACAAUAUUUGUAUUUUGUACUGCAGAAACUGCAUUUUAGGGCUGGCUGUUUUCUGAACUUGACAUUGCCAAAUGUGAACAAUAAAAUGUUGUUGAAAAACGGGAA